GACGAACGCUGGCGGCGUGCUUAACACAUGCAAGUCGAACGAUGAAGCCGGAGCUUGCUCUGGUGAAUUAGUGGCGAACGGGUGAGUAACACGUGAGUAACCUGCCCUUGACUCUGGGAUAACUGCGGGAAACUGUAGCUAAUACCGGAUACGACCCUCGGAGGCAUCUCCUGGGGGUGGAAAGAAUUUCGGUCAAGGAUGGACUCGCGGCCUAUCAGCUAGUUGGUGAGGUAAAGGCUGACCAAGGCGACGACGGGUAGCCGGCCUGAGAGGGUGACGGGCCACACUGGGACUGGUACACGGCCCAGACUCCUACGGGAGGCAGCAGUGGGGAAUAUUGCACAAUGGGCGCAAGCCUGAUGCAGCAACGCCGCGUGAGGGAUGACGGCCUUCGGGUUGUAAACCUCUUUAGCAGGGAAGAAGCGAAAGUAACGGUACCUGCAGAAAAAGCACCGGCUAACUACGUGCCAGCCGCCGCCGUAA
rnacentral:rRNA from 1 species